AUCUAUCAACCCAACACAGGUUGUCUUGUGAUUGGUGUUUGGAUUAUGAAGGUUGCUGGAAUUAAUAUCAGCUCCUUUUAAAUGUAUUAGCAGAACUUUGUAUCAGCUUCGGUUUGAUAAUAAUUUUAUCUGUGCUGCUGCUGGUAAACAUGGAUCAGCUUCAAAUUGUCUCAUCUUAAGAGACUGUCCAAUUUCUGGGCAUUAUUUUGAC
rnacentral:misc_RNA from 2 species